rnacentral:rRNA from 1 species
GACAGAGGGUGCAAACGUUGUCCGGAAUUACUGGGCGUAAAGCGUGCGUAGACGGUUACAUAAGUCGGGUGUGAAAGCCCCGGGCUCAACCUGGGAAUUGCAUUCGAGACUGCGUAGCUAGGGUGCGGAAGAGGGAAGCGGAAUUUCCGGUGUAGCGGUGAAAUGCGUAGAUAUCGGAAGGAACACCAGUGGCGAAAGCGGCUUCCUGGUCCAGCACCGACGUUCAGGCACGAAAGCGUGGGGAGCAAACAGG